rnacentral:rRNA from 1 species
UACGUAGGGGGCAAGCGUUGUUCGGAAUUACUGGGCGUAAAGGGCGCGUAGGCGGCACAGCAAGUCGGGAGUGAAAGCCCGGGGCUCAACCCCGGAAUGGCUUUCGAAACUGCUGAGCUAGAGUACAGAAGGGGCAACCGGAAUUCCCAGUGUAGCGGUGAAAUGCGUAGAUAUUGGGAAGAACACCUGAGGCGAAGGCGGGUUGCUGGGCUGAUACUGACGCUGAGGCGCGAAAGCCAGGGGAGCAAACGGGG